rnacentral:rRNA from 1 species
GAUGAACGCUGGCGGCGUGCCUAAUACAUGCAAGUCGAGCGAACGGACGAGAAGCUUGCUUCUCUGAUGUUAGCGGCGGACGGGUGAGUAACACGUGGAUAACCUACCUAUAAGACUGGGAUAACUUCGGGAAACCGGAGCUAAUACCGGAUAAUAUUUUGAACCGCAUGGUUCAAAAGUGAAAGACGGUCUUGCUGUCACUUAUAGAUGGAUCCGCGCUGCAUUAGCUAGUUGGUAAGGUAACGGCUUACCAAGGCAACGAUGCAUAGCCGACCUGAGAGGGUGAUCGGCCACACUGGAACUGAGACACGGUCCAGACUCCUACGGGAGGCAGCAGUAGGGAAUCUUCCGCAAUGGGCGAAAGCCUGACGGAGCAACGCCGCGUGAGUGAUGAAGGUCUUCGGAUCGUAAAACUCUGUUAUUAGGGAAGAACAUAUGUGUAAGUAACUGUGCACAUCUUGACGGUACCUAAUCAGAAAGCCACGGCUAACUACGUGCCAGCAGCCGCGGUAAUACGUAGGUGGCAAGCGUUAUCCGGAAUUAUUGGGCGUAAAGCGCGCGUAGGCGGUUUUUUAAGUCUGAUGUGAAAGCCCACGGCUCAACCGUGGAGGGUCAUUGGAAACUGGAAAACUUGAGUGCAGAAGAGGAAAGUGGAAUUCCAUGUGUAGCGGUGAAAUGCGCAGAGAUAUGGAGGAACACCAGUGGCGAAGGCGACUUUCUGGUCUGUAACUGACGCUGAUGUGCGAAAGCGUGGGGAUCAAACAGGAUUAGAUACCCUGGUAGUCCACGCCGUAAACGAUGAGUGCUAAGUGUUAGGGGGUUUCCGCCCCUUAGUGCUGCAGCUAACGCAUUAAGCACUCCGCCUGGGGAGUACGACCGCAAGGUUGAGACUCAAAGGAAUUGACGGGGACCCGCACAAGCGGUGGAGCAUGUGGUUUAAUUCGAAGCAACGCGAAGAACCUUACCAAAUCUUGACAUCCUUUGACAACUCUAGAGAUAGAGCCUUCCCCUUCGGGGGACAAAGUGACAGGUGGUGCAUGGUUGUCGUCAGCUCGUGUCGUGAGAUGUUGGGUUAAGUCCCGCAACGAGCGCAACCCUUAAGCUUAGUUGCCAUCAUUAAGUUGGGCACUCUAAGUUGACUGCCGGUGACAAACCGGAGGAAGGUGGGGAUGACGUCAAAUCAUCAUGCCCCUUAUGAUUUGGGCUACACACGUGCUACAAUGGACAAUACAAAGGGCAGCGAAACCGCGAGGUCAAGCAAAUCCCAUAAAGUUGUUCUCAGUUCGGAUUGCAGUCUGCAACUCGACUACAUGAAGCUGGAAUCGCUAGUAAUCGUAGAUCAGCAUGCUACGGUGAAUACGUUCCCGGGUCU